rnacentral:rRNA from 1 species
UACGAAGGGUGCAAGCGUUGUUCGGAAUGACUGGGCGUAAAGGGUUCGUAGGCGGGAAUGUAAGUUAAGUGUGAAAUCCCUGGGCUCAACCCAGGACGUGCAUUUAAAACUGCGUUUCUUGAGUACUGGAGGGGGUUGUGGAAUUGCUGGUGUAGGAGUGACAUCCGUAGAGAUCAGCAGGAACACCGGAGGCGAAGGCGACAACCUGGACAGAUACUGACGCUGAGGAACGAAAGCGUGGGGAGCAAACAGG